AUUGAACGCUGGCGGCAUGCCUUACACAUGCAAGUCGAACGGCAGCGGGCCCUUCGGGGUGCCGGCGAGUGGCGAACGGGUGAGUAACGCAUCGGAACGUACCCGGGAGAGGGGGAUAACCGGCCGAAAGGCUGGCUAAUACCGCAUGAACUCGGAAGAGCAAAGCGGGGGACCUUCGGGCCUCGCGCUCUCGGAGCGGCCGAUGUCCGAUUAGGCUAGUUGGUGGGGUAAAGGCCCACCAAGGCGACGAUCGGUAGCGGGUCUGAGAGGACGAUCCGCCACACUGGGACUGAGACACGGCCCAGACUCCUACGGGAGGCAGCAGUGGGGAAUCUUGGACAAUGGGCGCAAGCCUGAUCCAGCAAUGCCGCGUGGGUGAAGAAGGCCUUCGGGUUGUAAAGCCCUUUCGGCGGGGAAGAAAUCGGUCAGGCGAAUAGUCUGGCCGGAUGACGGUACCCGCAGAAGAAGCACCGGCUAACUACGUG
rnacentral:rRNA from 1 species